UAAGAGAGCUUAAGAGAAAAAAUGUAGUAUAUUGUUUGAUUAUGAGUGAAUAUAUGAUAUUUACAAAAUUAUUAAGAUCCUCUUUAUAUAGUAGAGGAAUCCUAUUUAUAGUAUAAUUUUAAUUACAGAAGUAAAUCUCAUAAAAAGCUAAACAAUCGAUCCUGACUCGAUACAUGUCGAGAAUUCCGCCACAUUCUUUACUUGAUCACGGAUAUCUCGGCUUUAUGUUAUUCGAUCUAACAAGCUUCCUUUGAUCUCACUCGAUCUCUUUCUUGCUCUACUCUCGAUCACUGCUAGUCUUUCUUGAUGGGCCAUUGAUCCACGAGCUUACCAAUCCAUUAAUCAAUAUAACCGAGGCUGAGCCUUGAUCUGCCACCCUGAUUUCGGUAAGUCAUACAAAAUUAGGCAAGCCAAUUUUGACGGUAUACAAUUGGAAAUAUAGUUUGACAUAAAUAAUCUUUUUCAAAUACAAUCACCCAUAUAUUUCAGCAAUAAAAUUUGAAAAUCGUAGAAGGUUUGGAAAAAUUGGGAGAAAAAAGUGGAAGAAAAUCAAAACUAGAAUUGGAACACUCAUAGUUGAUGGAAUGAAUUGAUAAAGUAGAAUAAAACGAUAGCUACAAGGAUUUUCAGCAUGAAAUCAUUUUUUUAAAAGAAAUGGAAAAAGAAUAGAGAAAAGUUACUGACCUAGUGGAGAUGAUGAAUUAAAUCUCCACAAAUCCUUCAAAACAUACUUUUAACUUGGAGUAAAUAAAUGCGUAAAAGGGGCUGACGGAGAGUUCUAGGAUGUUGGGGUUCAUAUCGAUAAAAAAGCAUAUGAAAGUAGCGGAGACUUCUAGAAUAUUGUAUGAUUGUUGGGGGAUUUAUAUGCAUAUACGUAUUUUUAUUAUUAUAUAUAUUAUAAUAAAAUAACAGGUAUAAUGACAAGUCUGCCCUUGAUCGACCAUCUUUGCGUUUUCUAUAUAAUAGAUCAUCAUUUCCCUCGUACCUUUGUUUUCUUGUGAAAAUUAACUUAAUUUUUUAGACGUUUACCAUGAACCGCCUUCAUGUUAAUUCAUUUCAUGAUUUUGUUUGUCCUUCAAAUUUCAAAUUUCUACCCUAUUUGUUCUAUGUUGUUAGUUAUUAUUAACAAAUUUAAAAACAUAAAUAAAGAUCAUACAAAAAUAACAAAAAAAGAGGGUUAAGUCAAAUAACAUUGGAAAGAUAGUUUGACCUAAAUAAUGUCUUUCAAAUACUAUCACCCGUGUAUUUGAGCUAUGAAAUUUGGAAAUCGUAGCAGGUUUGGGAAAAAUUGGAUGGGAAUAGUAAAAGAAAAUCCGAUCUGAAAUUGGAACACUCCUAGUUGAUGGAAAGAAUUGAUGAAGUAGAAUAAAGCGACAACUACAAGAAUUUUCGGCAUGAAAUCACCUUUUUUGUGAAAAUAAGUGGAAGAAGAUUAGAGAAAUGUUACUGACCUAGUGGAGAAGAUGAAUUAAACCCACACAAGUCCUUCAAAAUAUGCUGUUAAUUGGGAGUAAAUAAAUGUAUAAAAGGGAUAUAGUUCUAGAAUAUUGAGGUUUUUAUGGAUAAAAAAGCAGAUGAAAGUGGCGGAGACUUCUAGAAUAUUGUA
rnacentral:lncRNA from 1 species